rnacentral:lncRNA from 1 species
UUAUCUCUAAAUUAUGUGUAAUUAUUAAUGUGUAAUUAUUACCUAUUAUAAUAGAAAUGCAAUGUAAAUAGUCGUAAACAUUUUUAGAGAAUAAUAGCAAGAAAAAGUCUGUACAUGUUCACUACACAUGCAAUUUUUUUUUAAAAAAAUAUUUUUUUAGUUUGAAAUGGACACAGUACCUUUAUUUAUUUUAUGUGUUGCUGAGGAUUGAACCCAGUGCCUCAUAUAUGCUAGGCAAUUACUCUAUCACUGAGCUAUAAGCCCAGCUCCUACACAUAUAAUUUUUUCUAAAUAAAAUUUUAAACCAGGGUUAAUUGAAUCUGAAUGUGUAGAGCCAAUGGUAUGCAGCAAAUAUUUACAUCAUUUUUCAUCUACAUUAUCUCAAGUUCUUAUGAGUUUGCUUCUCCCAUAGCCCGUUCAUGCCAAAUCAGAAUGCUUCAAUGGUUUCCCAUCUUAAGUGACCCCAAAUCCAAAGACUUGAUUAUGGCCUACAAAAUACUAUCUGCAUUAAUCCUACUAGUUCUUUGACCUCUUCCCAGACCCCUUUUCCUUGCUCACUCCACUAUAGUCUGUCUGCCUCCUUAGUGUUUCUUAAACAUGCCUGCUUGUUUUCCUCUUUAUGGCCUUUUUACUUGCCAUCUCUUCUGCCUAGAGUUGUUUUCCCCUGAUCUUCUUGUGGAUGCUUUCUCAAAUCACUGUAUCAGAGAUGCCUUCCCUGACCAGUCUGUUUACACAGCAUCCCACACAUUCACUAUUACUGUCUGUCCCCUUUUACCUGUUUUUAUUUCUAUAGCACCUAUCACUCUGUGUGUGUGUGUGUGUGUGUAUACACUUCUUUUUUUCCAAUCCCACUAUCAGAUUUUAAGUUCCUUAAGGGCAGGGAUUUACUUUAUUUCCUAUUUUAACCUUAAUGCCUACAACAGUGCCUCAAUGAAUAAAACUAUUUACCCUAAAGCUUAAAAAAAAAAAAAAAGGUGGGGGGAGAGAGAGACAGACAUUAACAAUCCAAUAACACCCCUUGGUCCCUUAAGGGAAAAUCCAAGUAACACCUUGUAACACCAAGUAACACCUUGGAAAAAUAGCCCUGAAAUUAGCACAAAGAGACUGUUCUAUAGGUUUCAGAGCACCUUGCUGUGAGCCCCACCACCUUUUUUUUUUUUUUUUUUAAAAGCACUAGGGAUUGAACCCAGGGUUACUCAACCCUAAACUGCAUCUCCAGCAUUUUUUAUUUUUAUUUUUAUUUUUUUAUUUAUUUUUUGCUAGGCAAGCACUCUGCCUCUGAGCUACUGCCCUAGCCCUUUUUUGUUAUUUUUUUUGAGAUAGUCUCACUAAAUUGCCCAGGCUGGCCUUGAAUUCAUGUUCCUCCUGCCUCAGCCUCCUGAGUAGCUGGGAUUACAGAAAUAUGCCACCAUUCCUGGCUAUUGAUUUUGUAUGCAGUAUUGGAAUUGGCACAUAGUUCUCAGAAAUAAGGAUUGACUUGAAAUAUUGUAAAAGAGAAGCCACAAGUUUAGAAACUUGUUGUGUUAGAUCUUUGGUCAUGGGGAGAAAUCUAUUACUAGGCUCUGGAUGUGGCUAGAAUCGUAAGGUCUCAUUUUUAGCAUACCACUGUGUGUUUCUUUAAUAUGUUGUAAUCAAUGUGCUGACUUUACAUUGCAGUAUACUUCAUUGUCUUACUUACACCUUUCAAAAUCAAAUGUUAUUUUCACAGGUAUAUUUCACCGUAAUAUAUACUUGCUUUAUUUCCUAUGUAUGUUUGAUUCAGGCUAACAUUUAAUUGAAACAGGUAAAUCAAUGUAUGCUGCAAUUUUAAAGUAGUUUUAUUUUACUGGCCUGGUUGUGUGAUGUAUUUUAUAUAAUUGCUUCAAUCUGAAAUUAGUAAAGUGAAGAUGGCGUUUCAUAAAAACAAAUAUCAAUUAAAAUUU